rnacentral:ribozyme from 1 species
UGUUUGAGAGCGCGAAGCGCGACAGAGAGAGCAAGGAUGAGCGGGGCCAAGGACGGUUGGACGCGGGAA